rnacentral:rRNA from 1 species
GACGAACCGAGCGAACGUUGUUCGGAAUCACUGGGCUUAAAGGGCGCGUAGGCGGUCGUGACAAGUCACUUGUGAAAUCUCCGGGCUUAACUCGGAAAGGUCAAGUGAUACUGUCGGACUAGAGUACAGAAGGGGCAACUGGAAUUCUCGGUGUAGCGGUGAAAUGCGUAGAUAUCGAGAGGAACACCUGCGGCGAAGGCGGGUUGCUGGGCUGAUACUGACGCUGAGGCGCGAAAGCUAGGGGAGCGAACGGG